rnacentral:lncRNA from 1 species
UGCUUCUAUAUAAGCAUUUAAUGCAACAGUGUUCAUCUAAGUAUUGCUUUUGAGUGCCAAAAUACCAUGUUUUUCACACUCCAAACUCUUAGGAAGACUUCUGAAGACAACUUGUCCCUUAUUUAUGAUACUAUAUAUUAAAGUAACUGAAAGUAUUCAAAAUAAUGCUUACUUUGUGCAGAGGCCAUGAACUCUAACCAAAACACAUAAAUGUCAAAUUUGAGCGAUACAUUUUGAUUGAUUUUAAAAUUCCAUUUGAGGCACUACUUUUCUGAAUAGAUGCCCAAGGAAAAUAUUUUAAAAUAUUGUUUUAUUAAAAAAUUGUUUCCUAUAGAAUCUGAAAAGUUCUUUAGGUAGACUUUUAGUAAAAUGUUUGAACAGUUUAAAUGCUAUUUCAGACUGUCAGAAUGAUGAAUGUUUUUUAAUUAUUUUCAUAAUGAUUUAUCACUCCAGUUUACAGUACUUGAAAUAUUUUUUUCGCUUCACCUAAAUAACUGGCAUUUUUGUGUUAUGUUCUUUUCUUCAUUUUAUACUCUGCUCUAAAGCACUUUCAAAUUAAAAAAAAAAAAACAGUAUUGUAUUCUAGGGCCAUUAGUGAAUGUGCAUGAGCUAUUAUAGCCAAUGAAAUAAUCAUUAUAUGAUUGAAGAUUAACUAAGAAAAUGGAUUAUGGUGUAAUUAAAAACACCAAGAUAGGAGGGACGCAGUGGUUUAUGCCUGUAAUCCCAGCACUUUUUGAGAGGCUGAGGCAGGCAGAUUACCUGAGGUUAGGAGUUCGAGACCAGCCUGGCUAACAUGGCGAAACUCUGUCUCUACUAAAAAUACAAAAAUUAGCCGAGCAUGGUGGCAGGCGUCUGUAGUCCCAGCUACUUGGGAGGCUGAGGCAGGAGAAUUGCCUGAACCCGGGAGGAGGUUCCAGUGAGCCGAGAUCAUGCCACUGUACUCCAUCCUGGGCGACAAGAGCAAGACUCCGUCUCAAAAACAAAACAAAACAAAACAAAACAAAACAAAACAAAACAAAACAAAAACACCAAGAUAUUCCUGGAAAAGCUACGAAAAUAUGUUUUUCAGUUAAGCGGAAGCACUUAUCAAUGCCGCCAGUCCUGGUAAAGAUUGCCAACUCUAAUAUAAUAUAAAGCAGGCAUUUCUUGUAAUAAAUAUGAAGAGGAUAUUAGCCUUGAUCAUAGCAUAACUCUCUUCCAGGUAGGACUCCAGCUUCUGAAAGUCAUUUUGUAAUGUUCAUCAACUGAAGAUGACUGUAAAGCUCAGCACCAGUUCAUGGAGGCAGCCAUGUUUCUGAUUAAAGUCUGGGCCUAGAGAGCUGUAUGGAAAGGUUUGGAAUAGAGGUGAUUUAGCCUAGAGAAAAUUGCUAAACCAUGGGUUACACACUGGUGGCCUGUAGUCCUAUUUUGUUAGACACAGACAAUGGAUUUUCUUUGUUUUUCAUAUUUGAAUUAAUUUCUGAAUUCUUGAAUAUUGGCAGAUUAUGCUACAGGAAUCUAAAUUACUCUCAUUUCUGCAUGUCAUUAAAAAAGUAGAGAUGAAUAGCAGGCCCCUUUUCCCUGGGGCAUGCGCUUCCCAGCUACAUACACAGCACCCACCACACCAGAGAGUUUCCCUACCUGGCAACUACCGGUUAUCAUCACUCCUUAGGCAGCUGUUUUCUUACAGUGAAGAAGUUCUGUUUCCAUGGUGCUAUCAAAAGUAAGAAAAGGAACUAUAGUUUGAGAGGCUGUGUUCUUAACCCAUCGACGCUCCUAAUGGGCCCUGAAGAUAUUUGACCUUGUGACCAUGUGUAAUAAGGUGAUACAUGUUCAUUGAACGGUGGUGUCCUCCUCCCCUGACUUUCAAAUGGAAUUCAGAUACAAUUUUUACCCUUAUUAUGAUUAUCUACAAUUAUAAUUAUGCUACUUCUAAGUAUAUGACCUGGGGCAAGUUUCCUGACCUCUCUAUGCUUCACAUUCCUCAACCAUAAAUAGGGGAUAAAAAUAGUACCUACAUCAUAGAGUUGUCAAAAGGAUUACAUGAGUUAAUGUGUGGAAAGCACUGAAGAUAGUGCCUGGUAAAUACAAUGUACCAUGUAAGUGUUCACUGUUGCAGUCCUCAUUUAUUUUCUGAUUAUACUAACAUUUCACUUAUUCUGUGUUGCUCAUGUCACCUCCUAAUUUGUAAGUGACUGGUAGAAAGAAACUUGUCCCAAGGGUAUCUGACCUUCACCCACACUUUGCACUUCCAUCAGUCUGCAUCAGUUUUAGGGCCUAGAGAUGUAUUUGCACAUAUUGAAGGAGGUAAAUAACUACAGUGAAUAAGAUAACAUUCAGAAAUUCAGGACUGUGACCUUAGAGAUCAUCUAGUCCAGGAGUUGGCAAGCUUUUUCUGUAAAGGGCCAGACUGUAAAUAUUUUGGCUUUGUGGCCAGAUUGUCUCUGUGGCAACUACUCAACUCUGCUGGUGCAAUGCAAAAGCAGCCGUAGGCUCUAUGGGACGAAUAGGUGUGGCUGUGUUCCAAUAACACUUUAUUUAUAGACACUGAAAUUUGAAUUGCAUAUAAUUUUCACAUGUCAUUAAAUAUUAUUCUUCUUUUGAUUUUUUUUCAACCUUUUCAAAAUGUAAAAACCAUUCUUAGCUCUGGGCUAUAAAAAACAGGUAGAAGGUUUCACCCAGGAAUUCCACCUGGGAAUUUUUGUUGAACAGUGAAGCUACCUGGGCCCCACUCCAAACCCAUUGAAUAAAAAUCUCUGGGUGGUGGGGCAAUGGAAUCUGUGCUGUGAACAUGCAUGUGAUCCCUACCAGUGUGGCUCUAGGGACCACACUUUAAGAAACUACCCAAGGCCUUCAAACGAGUGUGGAGACUUUAUGGCCCCCCUCACAGAUCUAAAAAUGAUUUAUUAAGGUUAGUUAUAACAAGUACCACACUGCAAAUAUGAAUAUGAUCACUUUUGACUUAAAUUACUUAAAUUUACCCUUCACAUUCUCUUAUUUUUAUUAUCAAAAUUUCUUGUAGACAAAGGUCAUUAUUUUCUUCUACUAUGUUUAAGGAAUGUGAUAGCACCUUGAACUUACCCUAAAAUCACUGUACAUUAGAGAAAUCCUGUUUCAUGUUUUCAUCAAUGUAGGAAUAUGUGCAUGUUUAUUGACAUUCUUUGUGGUGGCAAAAAGUAAAAUAAACUCUGAAAAGAACUU